rnacentral:rRNA from 1 species
UACAGAGGUGGCAAGCGUUGUUCGGAAUUACUGGGCGUAAAGCGCGUGUAGGCGGCUCUUCAAGUCAGGCGUGAAAGCCCCGGGCUCAACUCGGGAACUGCGCUUGAUACUGUCGAGCUAGAGUGUGGAAGGGGCGAUUGGAAUUCCGUGUGUAGCGGUGAAAUGCGUAGAUAUACGGAGGAACACCAGAGGCGAAGGCGGAUCGCUGGGCCAACACUGACGCUGAGACGCGAAAGCUAGGGUAGCAAAC